rnacentral:lncRNA from 1 species
CGGUGAUGGUCAGUCCUCCAGUGGUCACUCUGGUGAUGGUCAGUCCAGUGGUCACUCUGGUGAUGGUCAGUCCAGUGGUCACUCUGGUGGGGGUUAAUCCACCAGUGGUCACUCUGGUGGUGGUCAGUCCACCAGUGGUCACUGCAGUGGUCACUGCAGUGGUCACUAGUGGCCACUCCAGUGGUCACUCUGGUGGUGGUCACUUAAGUGGUCACUUCACCGGUGGUCACUGCAGUGGUCACUCUAGUGGUCACCCUAGUGGUCAUUCCAGUGGUGGUCAGUCCACUGGUGGUCACUCUAGUGGUCACUGUGGUGGUGGUCACUCUAGUGGUCACUCCACUGGUGGCCACUCUGGUGGUCACACUGGUGGUCACUGCAGUGGUCACUCUGGUGGUCACUCCGGUGGUCACUCCAGUGGUGGUCACUCUGGUGGUCACUCUGGUGGUCACUCUGGUGGUCACUCCGGUGGUCACUCUGGUGGUCACUGGUGGUCACUCCGGUGGUCACUCCAGUGGUCACUCUGGUGGUGGUCAGUCCCCGCCGGACGCGGGGGGUGGUGGGAAAUAAACGCCGGCCUGAGCCCGGCUACGGCCACUGGGUGGUCAGUGGUCAUUCAAGGGGUCACUGGGUGGUCAGUGGUCACUCAAGGGGUCACUGGGUGGUCAGUGGUCAUUCAAGGGGUGGUCAGUGGUCACUCAAGGGGUCACUGGGUGGUCAGUGGUCACUCAAGGGGUCA